UUUUGGAUGAUGAAGAUUCAUCUCGAGGAAUUUUUGAAUUAAUUAAAGUUCUAUUUCCUUGCUGCAAUAUAGGGAAAUUAGAACUUGCAGAGCUAUAUGCAGAAUUUCUUCGAUCAAAAUAUGAAGGGUUUGUUCGUCCUCCUUGAUAUGAAGAGUUUUGAUUUCUUCCACCUCGUCCUCUACCUUUGGCGAGUUGCCAAGGAGGAUCCAUACUGCAUUAAUAAUCAGGAAUUUGAUCAGCAUACCAUGACAUAUAUUCAGAGAGAUCUUCAUAAAGUGUAUCCUUUGUGAUAAGGUCGUCAAUGACUUNNNNN
rnacentral:lncRNA from 1 species